rnacentral:rRNA from 1 species
UACGUAGGUGGCAAGCGUUGUCCGGAUUUACUGGGCGUAAAGGGCGUGCAGGCGGUCUGUUAAGUGCAGGGUGAAAGUUCCCGGCUCAACUGGGAGAGGUCCUUGCAUACUGGCGGACUUGAGGGGGGUAGAGGAAAGUGGAAUUCCCGGUGUAGUGGUGAUAUGCGUAGAUAUCGGGAGGAACACCUGUGGCGAAGGCGGCUUUCUGGGCCCUACCUGACGCUGAGGCGCGAAAAGCGUGGGGAGCAAACAGG